rnacentral:rRNA from 1 species
UGGGUAAUAUUGGACAAUGGGCGCAAGCCUGAUCCAGCCAUGCCGCGUGAGUGAAGAAGGCCCUCGGGUUGUAAAGCUCUUUUGUCCGGAAAGAAAAGCUUUGGGUUAAUACCCGGAAGUCCUGACGGUACCGGAAGAAUAACCACGGGCUAACUUCUUG